AGCCCACCGCGGCAGCGCCGGCACGCGGUGCUGCCGCCUCGGCCUCGCCUGUGCCGCGCCGGGCCCCGCCGCCGUGCCCAGGCGAUGCCGGCCUCUCCCGUGGCCGGCAAAGCGGCGGGGGACGAACGCACCCGCCUCGCCUGCGUUUUUCUGCGUGAGGUGUAAGCCGCCCCUCCGCGGCCUCUGUCGGCGGGGAGGAAUGUAGCGGAAUCCUUAAGCAAACAGAAGUCUUCCGGUUUUUGGUCUUCAGGAAUACUGAUGUUUCCACAAUACUGGGCUUGCCCUUUGAAGCCAUACCAGGAAGCAUGCAAGAGAAGCAUCUUUAGGAGUGCGUAUGUUCAGUUACCACCUUGUGUGAAGAUGUGGCUGAGAAGGCUGUUGAGGUGGCUGAGGAAAGAGAAGGGGACUGACAGGUGUGACCCUUGCAGUGCCAUGCAAAAGAUCCCUUCUGCUGUCUCCCACCCUUUGCAGCACUUUGGGACCAGCUUGUUUGGCCUUCUGGUUCAGAAGUUGUGUCGGCUACAUCUGUGCUCCAGAUGAAACAGCACCAGGAACUGCUUUCUGCCACAAGGCCAUUUAGCACAGGUUGGAUAAUAAGUAUUUCUCUAAGCCAUGUGAAGGCUUCAGUCCAGGGAUUUUUCUCAGUGUAACGUACACUGCCAAAUUUAGGCUUCUCCUACCGUCCAACAGCUUUCUCCCCCAGGUCCAUGUUAGUCUACUGACUGAAGUACGUGCUCAAGAAGCAAGAUAACCAGUCCAAUUAUCUCCUCAAUCUACAGGAAGUACACACAUUUCAAAUUAUCACACCAUGUCUUUUUAGGAGAAAGGGUAAGGAAUGGUUCUUGCCAUCCACUUCUUUCCUUUUGAAGCAGGGCAUUAUGCAGAAAAAGAGCCAGAGAAGGCAGACAGGACCCUUGUGCUGGGAGCUGGAGGUGCAUUUGGUCUCUGCUGUCUUUGUAUUUCAUGCUUGUGUGAAAAAAAAAAAAAAAUGUACUAGGAACAGAGACCAGGAGCCAGGAGUCUUCUCUCCAGGGCAGGUGUCCUUGCUGCAGGAUACCGCGAUUGUAGGAGUCACCUAAAGAGCUCAGCCUCUGCUCCAUCUGGUCCAGGGACUAUCAGACGUGGACAGCGGCUAAGGAGCCCUUUCAAACGAAUGAGUAAGUCGUAUGUGGUGAACCCAGUAAAUCUGCAUGGCUGCAUAGUGGCUCAGUGAAAAACUGGGCUCAGUCUGAGUGCUGAUCCCAAGCCACAGCCUGAAGACACUGUAGGACACACAGAUGGAAUCUGACACGUGCCUAUGCUCAGGCAGAAGGCUUAAGUGGAUGUAUGAGCAGCAAGAAUCACAACCAAAACACACUAUGAGGAUCGACUGAAGUGGCAGUUGACAUACAUUUUCAUGCCUCAGCAAGUAUGGAACAAAAAGCAACGACAGAAUCUGGGUAUACAGGGCAGGCACAAGGAGAUUGGCGAGGGGAAGGUGUACAUAGAGUAAAAGGCCAGCAGAGCUCUGAGGCAAUGGGCCAGGCACGGAGGUCUCCAGGGAAGCUUGUGCUGCACAAAGAGCUGGGCUGGCCUGGCUCUGAUCUUGCUGGUCCACAGCAGGCACCUUGAGGCUGUGCUUCAUGGCACAGACAUGCUGUGUUAGGCAUCAGCCAUGUACUCCCUGACAGCUGCUGCGCGCUGUUAAAGACCUUAACACCUUUGUGCUGGUAAACUGCUUGUGAGGCCACGUAAUGAGUUAGGUGAAGGAACUGAGGUUAAAAAUAGCUGUUUCCCCCUUCUUUGACAGGUUAAUUUCAAGUUCCCUGAUGCAAUUCAUUGCACUGUGCCACCUGUCCAUGUACUAGCACUGUUGGGCAGGAGGAAGCAGAGAAGGAUGCGAUGAGAUCGCAUGACCACUGAAUCAUACAAUGGUUUGGGUUGGAAGGGACUUUAAAGAUCUAAUUCCAACCCCUCUGCCAUGGGCAGGGACACCUCACACUAAAUCAGGUUGCUCAAAGCUCCAUCCAGCCUGGCCUUGAACACUUCCAGGGAUGGGGCAUCCACAGCUUCUCUGGGCAACCUGUCCCAGUGCCUCAAUUUCAUCCUUAUAUCAAAUCUAAGCCUACCCUCUUUUAGUUUAAAGCCAUUGAGUGGCUAAGAUGAAAGGAUCUUUGCCACUGAUGGAAAUGCUGGCCUCUCCUUGAGUAGGAGACAGUGCAGAGCAACUUUAAGUAAGCACAUGCACCUGAAGAGCAUGUCUUUACCAUCCAUUUAUGAAGAAGGAUUCUUAACAGAGGCAGUCAGUUUCAAACUGGAGAAUUAACUACACAGUGACGAAUGAUUGCUGGUCAGAGCUCUUACACUCCAGGCAGCGAGAGUGUUAAACCAACAUGGCCCAUGCAGACGAGACUGCAGUGUGUGAGUGCCCCCUUUUGUUCUAAUGAGACUUUGAGAGCUGUAAGGGAAUCACAAGAAAGGUGUCACAGCGCUGAAAGGUGACUUUUACAGCUAGCUGGAAAAGUGGCC